GACGAACGCUGGCGGCGUGCUUAACACAUGCAAGUCAAACGAUGAAGUUCCUUCGGGAAUGGAUUAGUGGCGAACGGGUGAGGAACACGUGAGAAACCUGCCUUUCAUUUUUGGGAUAACUCCGGGAAACCGGGGCUAAAACCGAAUACUCCGUCUCGGCGGCAUCGCUGAGCCGGGAAAAAAUUUUGAUGAAAGAUGGUCUCGCGGCCUAUCAGCUAGUUGGUGAGGUAAUGGCUCACCAAGGCAACGACGGGUAGCCGGCCUGAGAGGGCGACCGGCCACACUGGGACUGAGACACGGCCCAGACUCCGACGGGAGGCAGCAGUGGGGAAUAUUGGGCAAUGGGCGCAAGCCUGACCCAGCGACGCCGCGUGAGGGAUGAAGGCCUUCGGGUUGUAAACCUCUUUCAGUAGGGAAGAAGCGAAAGUGACGGUACCUAAAGAAGAAGCACCGGCUAACUAUGUGCCAGCCGCCGCCGUAA
rnacentral:rRNA from 1 species